rnacentral:rRNA from 1 species
GACGAACGCUGGCGGCGUGCUUAACACAUGCAAGUCGAACGGAAAGGCCCUGCUUUUGUGGGGUGCUCGAGUGGCGAACGGGUGAGUAACACGUGAGUAACCUGCCCUUGACUUUGGGAUAACUUCAGGAAACUGGGGCUAAUACCGGAUAGGAGCUCCUGCUGCAUGGUGGGGGUUGGAAAGUUUCGGCGGUUGGGGAUGGACUGGCGGCUUAUCAGCUUGUUGGUGGGGUAGUGGCUUACCAAGGCUUUGACGGGUAGCCGGCCUGAGAGGGUGACCGGACACAUUGGGACUGAGAUACGGCCCAGACUCCUACGGGAGGCAGCAGUGGGGAAUAUUGCACAAUGGGCGGAAGCCUGAUGCAGCAACGCCGCGUGCGGGAUGACGGCCUGCGGGUUGUAAACCGCUUUCGCCUGUGACGAAGCGUGAGUGACGGUAAUGGGUAAAGAAGCACCGGCUAACUACGUG